ACUCCGAUAGUGCAGUGAUUAGCACGCGUCCUCAGAAAGGGUGAGACGCGGGUUCAGCUCCUGCCCGAGGUU